UGCUGUGAUACCAACAGUCUAUGGGGCAUUUAUUCAGUGCCUUUAUGCUUAACCUAUAGACAUGGUGGCAUCAUGAAGCAAACUACUGGGAAAAGAGAAUGGAGCACAUAGGAGACUAGACAGCGUCAGAAGGAAACUUUGGUACUUUUGUAAAACAGCAAGAGACAAACCUUCUGGGAAUGUUGAGUCUUGGCAGGGGAUGGAGUGCUUCCUGCAGGAGGUCACUAAUCGUAUAACUAUUGAUGGAGAAGACAUAUAAAGGCAGAAUAUGUUCACCAGACUCAACAAGCCACCUCAAUAACAACUCAGGACAAACAGAGCAUCUGAAGUCAAGUUGACCUUUCCAGGAGCCUCUGCUGGGAUACAAGGGGCGCCCUUCAGCAUCCUCUUCAUCCAAAGUGAGAGAUCUCUCCCCGAUUGAUAGGACAUCCAUUAAUUCUUUCCAGGUGUGGAACUGAAUGUUUAUCUCCUCCUGAAUUGUUAUGUACACAAGAUAUGGGGAAUUGGAUCUGAAUUCACUUCCUUGACUAUGAAUUUCAAUCUUAUACUAUGUCCUUCCUUGAAGGUAAGAAGAAGCUCCUUCAAGCUGAGAGCAAAGUAGCACCUUAAAUUCCAGACCUUUAUCAGAUGAGAAAUUUUGUAUUAUUUACCUGAUUUCUAGAUAUCAAUAUUUAUACUUUGGAUUUGGACAUUUAACAGCAAAAGAAACCAGCCUCACUAAAGAAUAAUGGGAUAUCUAUGUUUGAACCACAGUUUCAUUGGAAAUACCAAGAGAAAAUAUACGAGAUAUCCUCAAAAAUGGAAAAUAAUUGUGUUUUGCAACUAGAACAUUGUUCUGAAAUAAGAGAAAAUAAUAAAAUUUCCUGAUUUCCAUUUCCAUUCCUGAAAAA